rnacentral:ncRNA from 1 species
GUAAAAGCUUUGAGCGGAACAGUAGAGACGUUUAAAUUCAUCCAAGAGAGUCGGCAACUGGUGUGAGUCCGAUAUGAAAUGCGUUUUGAAGAACGUCCGGGAGCUUCUGUCCUGAAAGUCUGAGAUCAGUAGGGGCGGACGGAGCCAGACCGUUAUAACUUGGACAGUAUCGAGAUGUUGCUCUGUACUGGUUUAAGUUGAGCUUGAAGCUAACUAAGGUGGUACCGCGAAAAUAGACCUUUCGUCCUUAAC